CAGUAGCCGCGGGAAAACGGAGGGGGCUAGCGUUGUUCGGAAUUACUGGGCGUAAAGCGCACGUAGGCGGCUUGGUAAGUCAGGGGUGAAAUCCCAGAGCUCAACUCUGGAACUGCCUUUGAUACUGGGUAUCUUGAGUAUGGAAGAGGUUAGUGGAAUUGCGAGUGUAGAGGUGAAAUUCGUAGAUAUUCGCAGGAACACCAGUGGCGAAGGCGGCUAACUGGUCCAUAACUGACGCUGAGGUGCGAAAGCGUGGGGAGCAAACAGGAUUAGAUACCCGCGUAGUCCCUGUCUCUUAUAC
rnacentral:rRNA from 1 species